rnacentral:rRNA from 1 species
AUUGAACGCUGGCGGCAGGCCUAACACAUGCAAGUCGAACGGUAACGGGAAGCAGCUUGCUGCUUCGCUGACGAGUGGCGGACGGGUGAGUAAUGUCUGGGAAACUGCCUGAUGGAGGGGGAUAACUACUGGAAAUGGUAGCUAAUACCGCAUAACGUCGCAAGACCAAAGAGGGGGACCUUAGGGCCUCUUGCCAUCGGAUGUGCCCAGAUGGGAUUAGCUAGUAGGUGGGGUAACGGCUCACCUAGGCGACGAUCCCUAGCUGGUCUGAGAGGAUGACCAGCCACACUGGAACUGAGACACGGUCCAGACUCCUACGGGAGGCAGCAGUGGGGAAUAUUGCACAAUGGGCGCAAGCCUGAUGCAGCCAUGCCGCGUGUAUGAAGAAGGCCUUCGGGUUGUAAAGUACUUUCAGCGGGGAGGAAGGGAGUAAAGUUAAUACCUUUGCUCAUUGACGUUACCCGCAGAAGAAGCACCGGCUAACUCCGUG